rnacentral:rRNA from 1 species
GGGUUGUGAGGUUAAGCGACUAAGCGUACACGGUGGAUGCCCUGGCAGUCAGAGGCGAUGAAGGACGUGCUAAUCUGCGAUAAGCGCCGGUAAGGUGAUAUGAACCGUUAUAACCGGCGAUUUCCGAAUGGGGAAACCCAGUGUGAUUCGUCACACUAUCAUUAACUGAAUCCAUAGGUUAAUGAGGCGAACCGGGGGAACUGAAACAUCUAAGUACCCCGAGGAAAAGAAAUCAACCGAGAUUCCCCCAGUAGCGGCGAGCGAACGGGGAGGAGCCCAGAGCCUGAAUCAGCAUGUGUGUUAGUGGAAGCGUCUGGAAAGGCGCGCGAUACAGGGUGACAGCCCCGUACACAAAAGCGCAUGUGCUGUGAGCUCGAUGAGUAGGGCGGGACACGUGGUAUCCUGUCUGAAUAUGGGGGACCAUCCUCCAAGGCUAAAUACUCCUGACUGACCGAUAGUGAACCAGUACCGUGAGGGAAAGGCGAAAAGAACCCCGGCGAGGGGAGUGAAAAGAACCUGAAACCGUGUACGUACAAGCAGUGGGAGCACAGGUUUACCUGUGUGACUGCGUACCUUUUGUAUAAUGGGUCAGCGACUUAUAUUCUGUAGCAAGGUUAACCGUAUAGGGGAGCCGUAGGGAAACCGAGUCUUAACCGGGCGUUAAGUUGCAGGGUAUAGACCCGAAACCCGGUGAUCUAGCCAUGGGCAGGUUGAAGGUUGGGUAACACUAACUGGAGGACCGAACCGACUAAUGUUGAAAAAUUAGCGGAUGACCUGUGGCUGGGGGUGAAAGGCCAAUCAAACCGGGAGAUAGCUGGUUCUCCCCGAAAGCUAUUUAGGUAGCGCCUCGUGAAUUCAUCUCCGGGGGUAGAGCACUGUUUCGGCUAGGGGGCCAUCCCGGCUUACCAACCCGAUGCAAACUGCGAAUACCGGAGAAUGUUAUCACGGGAGACACACGGCGGGUGCUAACGUCCGUCGUGAAGAGGGAAACAACCCAGACCGCCAGCUAAGGUCCCAAAGUCAUGGUUAAGUGGGAAACGAUGUGGGAAGGCCCAGACAGCCAGGAUGUUGGCUUAGAAGCAGCCAUCAUUUAAAGAAAGCGUAAUAGCUCACUGGUCGAGUCGGCCUGCGCGGAAGAUGUAACGGGGCUAAACCAUGCACCGAAGCUGCGGCAGCGAACGUAUCACUUAAAGCGAUUCAGCGGGUUACGAUUGACGGAGCGAAGCGACGUCAAAGCGUAUGACAUAAGUAACGAUAAAGCGGGUGAAAAGCCCGCUCGCCGGAAGACCAAGGGUUCCUGUCCAACGUUAAUCGGGGCAGGGUGAGUCGACCCCUAAGGCGAGGCCGAAAGGCGUAGUCGAUGGGAAACGGGUUAAUAUUCCCGUACUUGGUGUUACUGCGAAGGGGGACGGAGAAGGCUAUGUUGGCCGGGCGACGGUUGUCCCGGUUUAAGCGUGUAGGUGUGUGUUCCAGGUAAAUCCGGUUCACUUUAACACUGAGGCGUGACGACGAGGCACUACGGUGCUGAAGCAACAAAUGCCCUGCUUCCAGGAAAAGCCUCUAAGCAUCAGGUAACAUCAAAUCGUACCCCAAACCGACACAGGUGGUCAGGUAGAGAAUACCAAGGCGCUUGAGAGAACUCGGGUGAAGGAACUAGGCAAAAUGGUGCCGUAACUUCGGGAGAAGGCACGCUGACACGUAGGUGAAGUGAUUUACUCAUGGAGCUGAAGUCAGUCGAAGAUACCAGCUGGCUGCAACUGUUUAUUAAAACACAGCACUGUGCAAACACGAAAGUGGACGUAUACGGUGUGACGCCUGCCCGGUGCCGGAAGGUUAAUUGAUGGGGUCAGCGCAAGCGAAGCUCCUGAUCGAAGCCCCGGUAAACGGCGGCCGUAACUAUAACGGUCCUAAGGUAGCGAAAUUCCUUGUCGGGUAAGUUCCGACCUGCACGAAUGGCGUAAUGAUGGCCAGGCUGUCUCCACCCGAGACUCAGUGAAAUUGAACUCGCUGUGAAGAUGCAGUGUACCCGCGGCAAGACGGAAAGACCCCGUGAACCUUUACUAUAGCUUGACACUGAACAUUGAGCCUUGAUGUGUAGGAUAGGUGGGAGGCUUUGAAGUGUGGACGCCAGUCUGCAUGGAGCCGACCUUGAAAUACCACCCUUUAAUGUUUGAUGUUCUAACGUGGACCCGUAAUCCGGGUUGCGGACAGUGUCUGGUGGGUAGUUUGACUGGGGCGGUCUCCUCCUAAAGAGUAACGGAGGAGCACGAAGGUUGGCUAAUCCUGGUCGGACAUCAGGAGGUUAGUGCAAUGGCAUAAGCCAGCUUGACUGCGAGCGUGACGGCGCGAGCAGGUGCGAAAGCAGGUCAUAGUGAUCCGGUGGUUCUGAAUGGAAGGGCCAUCGCUCAACGGAUAAAAGGUACUCCGGGGAUAACAGGCUGAUACCGCCCAAGAGUUCAUAUCGACGGCGGUGUUUGGCACCUCGAUGUCGGCUCAUCACAUCCUGGGGCUGAAGUAGGUCCCAAGGGUAUGGCUGUUCGCCAUUUAAAGUGGUACGCGAGCUGGGUUUAGAACGUCGUGAGACAGUUCGGUCCCUAUCUGCCGUGGGCGCUGGAGAACUGAGGGGGGCUGCUCCUAGUACGAGAGGACCGGAGUGGACGCAUCACUGGUGUUCGGGUUGUCAUGCCAAUGGCACUGCCCGGUAGCUAAAUGCGGAAGAGAUAAGUGCUGAAAGCAUCUAAGCACGAAACUUGCCCCGAGAUGAGUUCUCCCUGAGACUUAGAGUCUCCUGAAGGAACGUUGAAGACGACGACGUUGAUAGGCCGGGUGUGUAAGCGCAGCGAUGCGUUGAGCUAACCGGUACUAAUGAACCGUGAGGCUUAACCUUACAACGCCGAAG